GGAGAGGUGCCAGAGCGGUUGAAUGGGCCGGUCUCGAAAACCGGUAUGGGUCUUUUGGCCCAUCGAGGGUUCGAAUCCCUCCCUCUCCGCCA
rnacentral:tRNA from 1 species